rnacentral:rRNA from 1 species
AGUGAACGCUGGCGGUAGGCCUAACACAUGCAAGUCGAACGGCAGCACAGUAAGAGCUUGCUCUUACGGGUGGCGAGUGGCGGACGGGUGAGGAAUACAUCGGAAUCUACUUUUUCGUGGGGAUAACGUAGGGAAACUUACGCUAAUACCGCAUACGACCUACGGGUGAAAACAGGGGAUCUUCGGACCUUGCGCGAUUGAAUGAGCCGAUGUCGGAUUAGCUAGUUGGCGGGGUAAAGGCCCACCAAGGCGACGAUCCGUAGCUGGUCUGAGAGGAUGAUCAGCCACACUGGAACUGAGACACGGUCCAGACUCCUACGGGAGGCAGCAGUGGGGAAUAUUGGACAAUGGGCGCAAGCCUGAUCCAGCCAUACCGCGUGGGUGAAGAAGGCCUUCGGGUUGUAAAGCCCUUUUGUUGGGAAAGAAAAGCAGCAGGUUAAUACCCCGCUGUUCUGACGGUACCCAAAGAAUAAGCACCGGCUAACUUCGU